CAGAGUAAGGCUGUGCGCGUUAAGUGCCGCAUCAACGGGGAGUUGUGCUGCGGACGAAGGCGAAGUUUUCCCGCGGUGCACAGCCUGCAUCCCGCUGC
rnacentral:ncRNA from 1 species